rnacentral:rRNA from 1 species
CCCUUAGAUGUUCUGGGCCGCACGCGCGCUACACUGAUGCAUUCAACGAGUCUAAAACCUGGUCUGAUAGGGCUGGGUAAUCUUUUGAAUGUGCAUCGUGAUUGGGAUAGAUGGUUGCAAUUCUUCAUCUUCAACGAGGAAUGCCUAGUAAACGCAAGUCAUCAGCUUGCAUUGAUUACGUCCCUGCCCUUUGUACACACCGCCCGUCGCUCCUACCGAUUGAAUGUUCCGAUGAAUACCAUGGACUGAGAGUAUGAAUGGGUUCGCCUAUUUCUGCUUCUCGGGAAGUGGAGUAAAUCUUAACAUUUAGAGGAAGGAGAAGUCGUAACA